rnacentral:lncRNA from 1 species
GUUCUUGAGUACACGGUUGUACACGGUUUGAUUUUUAGUGAUUUUUUGUUGUUUAUUUCGAUAAUUAUGUUAUAUAUAUGACUUAUUACAUGUUUUGGACUAAAAAACGGCCUCAAAAAACACUAUGUACGUAAAUUACCUUAUUUUUGAACCCUUAGUGUUCUGCCGUACACGGUUAGGGUUUCCCCGUACACGGUUGUGUACACGGUUGUACACGGAGGUCGAUUUUGUUGUACACGGUUGGGUUGAAUAUGAUUUUGAUGUUAUUUUUAGCAUGUUUGUAUAUUCAGUUCAUGUAUUGGGGUACACGGUUUCCUGUUUGUGUAUUUAAAUGUUGUAUUUUUGUCGUUUUGAAGCAGAUGUCGUUUCAAGCAAUCGUUAUACGGCACAGUGGUCAGUGGAAAUUAACCGAGUAUGAAGGCGGCGAUGAGGUUGUCGUGUAUGUGUCUAAGGAAGAGCUUUGUCAUGCGAAGUUGAUGCAAGAGGUGCACGAUCAAUUAAACGAGGAUGGACGAUCCACUUAUAUGCUUUUCUACAUAUCGACCACGGACGAAGGGAAAAAUAAAAGUAGCUUUGAAGGCCGAUUCAGAUUUGAACCGGCUGAUUUCCGAGCAUGAGAAAUAUCCAGUUGUUUACGUGAUCGAGAAGGGCAAACAAUCUGCGGCUCCAAGUCCUCAAAAUCAGGAGCGAGUAUAUUAUGAGGGGCAACGUUCUACUGUGUUUCCUAUCGAGACAGACGUUGGAAGAAGUAGGGACGAUUCAUCGUCGCAGGAGGAGAAGACGAUCCGAGUCUUCGGAUGAGGAAGAAGAGGCGAUACUACGCAGAGAGAUAUUGGAUUCAGUGUCGACUGAACAGGAAGCGUGGAGACAGACAGGGCCUCAGAAUUUCACAUCGGAUGAUCAGCCCGAUAUCGAGCCUCGUGGCGGAGUUCAGCAGCUUGAGGCACGUGACUGAGGGUUUCCAGUCCUCGAUUUUGACGAUGCGCCGGCAUUAGGUUGGGAGGAUUCUAACGUAUUGGAGAGCGGGAUAUUAUCAGUGGGGGCUCUAUUCCGGUCGAAGGAUGAUUUGGCGAUCGUUGUUGGCCUGUAUCAUAUGGAGAAUCACGUGGAGUACGUCGUGGAUCGUUCCAGUACGACCUGUUUGUGGUUUGUUUGCAAGCAUGGCAACAAUUGUUCGUUCAUGCUGCGAGCCGUUUAGAGUGCAUCGAUCUGGAGAGUGAUCAAGGUGAAUUGGUAGGCGAGGGCGUCGUUUUGAAGCUGAAGGAAGAUAUUUUGCACGGAAACAUGGAGAUCAACUUUCCGGGCACCACCCACUCCUCGUAUGCAUGUCGCUCUCGUAUGUCGUUCCAAUCUGGCAAAUUCGGAUGCAACGAAGCGAAUUCUUUGACGAGGGUCUCCUACAAUCACAAAAAAAAAUCAUGAUUAAUUUAUAGGUAGUUUUAUAUACAUAAACACAAAUUAUUCUACCAAAAACUUACAUAAAAUUCCAGAAAAGCUAUCGGCGUUCUAGCCCGUGUCACACCUGCAGUGAGCUUCAUCUGCCCCCGAGCUAUCCACUCCUGAUUGAUUCUAAGCCGUCGAAGAGCCUUCAGAUUCCAGAGGUCUAAGAUCUGUUUAAAAAAAUCAUGAUUAAUUAUCGACAACGCAAAUCUUAAGAAACACAAUAAUAUCAAAUUAUUAUACCUCCCCGUCGAACUCCUCGCGAGGAUCCAUAAUCCGGUGGAAUAGCUCCUGGGUCAUCACAAAGCCCGUCUCGAGCACUGUAACAAAAGUACCUGGCGGCGCUGUCAUAAACUCCUUGAAGCCCCGCUUCUUCGCUUUCAUCACCCCCUUACCAUACGGCAAGGUCGGGUCAAUGACAUACGGACUCUGCACUGCAGCAGACGGCCUAAGCAAGCGGUGAGGCCUCUCUCUAGCAUCCGCCUCCUCCUCUGAUGAAGUCCAGGUAAAAUUCACUUCAUCAUCUACAUCCCCCGGCUUAGGUGCAGGGGUCUCUGGACUAUGAUACCCAACCGGUGUCUCUGGGCGAUCACUGUGACGUGAGGCGGAUCGUCUCAAAGAUGUCUGCCUCUCACCAUGAUGUGAGGCUGAUCGCCUCAAAGAUGCCUCUCUCUCACUGUGGCGUGAGGCAGAUCG